rnacentral:lncRNA from 1 species
GACGGAAAGAAGGUGUCGCAGAUAGAAAUGAGCGACAUCAUCUCCCUCUCCGUUAUAUCAGUCGUCAUUAAACGGCCGUCACCGGCGUUAGGCGGCCUUCCAAAGUCAAUUACUACUGUAGUACUCUCCUCCUUAACAUCCGUUCCCUCCCGUCGCUGCAUCAUCACCAUCAAACACACAAACAAAAUAUAAUUAACUACCCAAUUUCCAGACUAGUGAGUUAUAAUUCGUGACCAAGAGGAUCUCUGCUAUAUUUAUAUAUAUACAGAGGAAAUUAGAGCGAUCGUGAUGAGACGAAGAACAGAGAGAGGGGGGAGUACGUGGAGAGGAGAUAAAAUAGAAAAACGUCAAUUGGAAUGCAUGCAAAACUUAACCCAAUUGAAUCCUCCUGAUGAUC